GAAAUGCGAUAAGUAAUGUGAAUUGCAGAAUUCCGUGAAUCAUCGAAUCUUUGAACGCACAUUGCGCCCCUGGCAUUCCGGGGGGGCAUGCCUGUCCGAGCGUCAUUUCUGCCCUCAAGCACGGCUUGUGUGUUGGGUGUGGUCCCCCCGGGGACCUGCCCGAAAGGCAGCGGCGACGUCCGUCUGGUCCUCGAGCGUAUGGGGCUCUGUCACUCGCUCGGGAAGGACCUGCGGGGGUUGGUCACCACCAUAUUUCACCACGGUUGACCUCGGAUCAGGUAGAAGUUACCCGCUGAACAUAAGC
rnacentral:misc_RNA from 1 species